GGUCAAGCGAAUAAGCGCACACGGUGGAUGCCUUGGCGGUCAGAGGCGAUGAAGGACGUGGCAGCCUGCGAAAAGUAUCGGGGAGCUGGCAACAAGCUUUGAUCCGGUAAUGUCCGAAUGGGGAAACCCACCCGCUUGCGGGUAUCCUGCAGUGAAUACAUAGCUGCUGGAAGCGAACCUGGUGAACUGAAAUAUCUAAGUAACCAGAGGAAAAGAAAUCAACCGAGAUUCCGUAAGUAGCGACGAGCGAACGCGGACUAGCCCUUAAGCUGGAUUGGUUCUAGGAAAACGCUCUGGAAAGAGCGGCCAUAGAAGGUGAUAGCCCUGUAUCUGAAAGGGCCAUUCCAGUGAAGACGAGUAGGGCGGGGCACGUGAAACCCUGUCUGAACAUGGGGGGACCAUCCUCCAAGGCUAAAUACUACUGACCGACCGAUAGUGAACCAGUACCGUGAGGGAAAGGCGAAAAGAACCCCGGAGAGGGGAGUGAAAUAGAACCUGAAACCGUGUGCGUACAAGCAGUAGGAGCUCCGCAAGGAGUGACUGCGUACCUUUUGUAUAAUGGGUCAGCGACUUACUGUUCGUGGCAAGCUUAACCGUAUAGGGGAGGCGAAGGGAAACCGAGUCUGAUAAGGGCGCAUAGUCGCGGGCAGUAGACCCGAAACCGGGUGAUCUAGUCAUGCCCAGGGUGAAGGUGCGGUAACACGCACUGGAGGCCCGAACCCACUCCCGUUGCAAAGGUAGGGGAUGAGGUGUGAUUAGGAGUGAAAAGCUAAUCGAACCCGGAGAUAGCUGGUUCUCCUCGAAAGCUAUUUAGGUAGCGCCUCAUAUGUAUCCUCUCGGGGGUAGAGCACUGUUAUGGCUAGGGGGUCAUCGCGACUUACCAAACCAUUGCAAACUCCGAAUACCGAGACGGACUGUAUGGGAGACACACGGCGGGUGCUAACGUCCGUCGUGAAAAGGGAAACAACCCAGACCCACAGCUAAGGUCCCAAAUUUUGUGCUAAGUGGAAAACCAUGUGGAAAGGCACAGACAGCCAGGAGGUUGGCUUAGAAGCAGCCACCCUUUAAAGAAAGCGUAAUAGCUCACUGGUCGAGUCGGUCUGCGGGGAAGAUUUAACGGGGCUAAGCACAGAACCGAAGCUUGGGGUGCAUAACUUUGUUAUGCGCGGUAGAGGAGCGUUCCGUAAGCCGUUGAAGGUGGAUUGAGAAGUCUGCUGGAGGUAUCGGAAGUGCGAAUGCUGACAUGAGUAACGAUAAUGCGGGUGAAAAACCCGCACGCCGAAAGCCCAAGGUUUCCUUGCGCAACGUUAAUCGGCGCAGGGUGAGUCGGCCCCUAAGGCGAGGACGAAAGUCGUAGUCGAUGGGAAGCAGGUUAAUAUUCCUGCACCUCGCGUAAGUGCGAUGGAGGGACGGAGAAGGUUAGGUGUACCAGGCGUUGGUUGUCCUGGGGAAAGGCGGUAGGUUUGGAUCUUUGGCAAAUCCGGGAUCCUCUAAGACCGAGCACCGAGACGAGCCUUUAUGGCGAAGUCACUGAUACCACGCUUCCAGGAAAAGCUCCUAAGCUUCAGCUUACGCAGACCGUACCGUAAACCGACACAGGUGGGUAGGAUGAGAAUUCUCAGGCGCUUGAGAGAACUCGGGUGAAGGAACUAGGCAACAUGGCACCGUAACUUCGGGAGAAGGUGCACCCUUUUUGGUGGCUCGUGCGAGCUAUAGCUGAAGAGGGUCGCAGUAACCAGGCCGCUGCGACUGUUUAUCAAAAACACAGCACUCUGCAAACACGAAAGUGGACGUAUAGGGUGUGACGCCUGCCCGGUGCUGGAAGGUUAAUUGAUGGGGUCAGCCGCAAGGCGAAGCUCUUGAUCGAAGCCCCAGUAAACGGCGGCCGUAACUAUAACGGUCCUAAGGUAGCGAAAUUCCUUGUCGGGUAAGUUCCGACCUGCACGAAUGGCGUAACGACAGCGGCGCUGUCUCCACCCGAGACUCAGUGAAAUUGAAAUCGCUGUGAAGAUGCAGCGUUCCCGUGGCAAGACGGAAAGACCCCGUGAACCUUUACUAUAGCUUUACACUGAACGUUGAGUUCGUCUGUGUAGGAUAGGUGGGAGGCUAUGAAACCAUGGCGCUAGCUGUGGCGGAGCCAUCCUUGAAAUACCACCCUGUCGUGCUUGACGUUCUAACCUGGGCCCAUUAUCUGGGUCGGGGACCGUGUAUGGUGGGUAGUUUGACUGGGGCGGUCUCCUCCUAAAGAGUAACGGAGGAGCUCGAAGGUACGCUCAGCGCGGUCGGACAUCGCGCACUGUGUGCAAAGGCAUAAGCGUGCUUGACUGCAAGAUCGACGGAUCAAGCAGGUAGGAAACUAGGACUUAGUGAUCCGGUGGUUCUGUAUGGAAGGGCCAUCGCUCAACGGAUAAAAGGUACUCCGGGGAUAACAGGCUGAUACCGCCCAAGAGUUCAUAUCGACGGCGGUGUUUGGCACCUCGAUGUCGGCUCAUCACAUCCUGGGGCUGUAGUCGGUCCCAAGGGUAUGGCUGUUCGCCAUUUAAAGUGGUACGCGAGCUGGGUUCAGAACGUCGUGAGACAGUUCGGUCCCUAUCUGCCAUGGGCGUUGGAGAUUUGAGAGGGGCUGCUCCUAGUACGAGAGGACCGGAGUGGACGAACCUCUGGUGUUCCGGUUGUCACGCCAGUGGCAUUGCCGGGUAGCUAUGUUCGGAAGCGAUAACCGCUGAAAGCAUCUAAGCGGGAAGCGCGCCUCAAGAUGAGAUCUCCCGGGGCACAAGCCCCCUGAAGGAACCAUGUAGACUACGUGGUUGAUAGGUCAGGUGUGUAAGUACAGCAAUGUAUUGAGCUAACUGAUACUAAUGAUCCGUGCGGCUUGACCAU
rnacentral:rRNA from 1 species